CCCCUCCUAACCCGGCCCCGACGCACGGCCGGACGGCAGCGGGAAAGCGUGCUUGCUUCUAGGGUGGCAUCCUACGGUGGCCAUUCACAUCUCUGCGUAACAGUCCAGAGGCAGCCAACUCUGGAGGAGGAGAAGCUCUCCACCAGACAGAAGGAAAUGAGUUAAUGGAGGCCACUGGACGGUUCAAGGAUGCUGGGAUUUGGCCUUCCAUCAUCAGCUCAUUCAUGCGUGCUCGGAGUUCCCGGAUAUUCCAUCGUUGAGCCUCAAGCGUCUGCUGCACUGUGUUAAACAUCAUUACAACUGAGUCCUCAUCUCUGUGGGGAGGUGGUGACUUGGAUCCCUGCAGCUACAUAAACGAGCUCGGGGUCAUGGCUCCUUCCUCCCUCUCUGUAAAUUGCUGACUAAGGGAAUCUGUGGCUACAAUUACUGCAAAGAAAUGUAUAUUCAAGGGUCACCCAAAAUGAAAUUCUCCGCCCUGAGUUUUUUCACAGCCAGCCAACCACAUGAAAAUCAGGUUUUCACAUCACUCCAAUCAUUCAGUUUGAGGAGGAUUGAGUGUCGGGAAGGACCUGGAGGCUACAGUGAAUCGCAAAUUGAAUAUGAGUCCAGAGUGUGAUGCAGACGGGAUCGGCCUUUUCCAGCAGCAGCAACCUCCCCAGCAGAUCCACCCACGUCUCCUUUCCCACCAGAGGACAGUUUGUUCCAGCUAGAAGAAAAGCAUUCUGUCAGACGGGGGUCCCUUAUCAAAAUACAAGGGCUCAGCCCCGCUCUGAUGUCCCUCUGCCCCCAAAGCUAUGUUGGCCUCUGUGGUUUCGAUUCUUGUACUCUC